UGUUUGCUUUAUGUGCUUGAUGUUUGCAGGAAAUUUUUGAGGCAGAGUUUAUAACAUUGAUUUAGGAGGCAAAGUUUGAUUACAAAGACGACGCAGAAGAUAGGAAGAUCAAGGAUGUUAGAGUGGAAUAGAUUUUUUUGAUAAUUAUAAUUGAUGGCAUUAAAUUCUGCAAACAAGGGAGUUGAAAUGGAUGACCAAGACUGCGAAGUUUCGAGACAUUGAUGAAUGAAUUCUCAUUUGUACUUACCAUUUUGAGAGGUGUCUAGAAGGUAUCCUUUCAAACAAUAUAAUAGGUAAAUACUUAUUUGUAUGAGUAUACAUGGAAGUUAUCCUUACCAUGUAUGAGUUUUCUGUGAGUUGCCUAGAUUGUAUUCCUGUAUUAGCUUAGUUGUAGAUCAAUUGCUUUAGUUACUUUCAUUGUGCAUAUAGCCUAUGUAUUCUGUCUGCUAGAUUGAAACCAAAUUUAAAAAUACUUAUUUGAUAUGAAGUGGUUAAAGAAUCUUGCCGUUUCCAAAUCUUUUCGCGGAUAAGCAUUUUUUAAUUUGGUUUUGUGGUCGUAUCUCGGCAUCACCACAUUUGUUGCUUGCUUGGUGGUCAAAAACUCAUGUUAUCUGAUUCUUUAAUUUCCCUUGAUAUCUUAAGCUGUACUUAAAUUAUUCUUUCCUCCAAUAUGCUGUAGUGAAGAGUUGAUGACAAAGAUAAAUGGAUUGAUUACAAGGGUAGAAUGCAUGCAUGUAUGAGCAGUUGUAAGUAAAGUCAUAUUUAUUUUUGUUCGUUUAAGGAUUUUUAAGUAUAGUUUGCUUUGAAUUAAGAUUUUUUGAUCAAUAUGCUUUGAAUUAAGAUGUUCAGGCAUACCACCGGUAGCUUUAGGACCAUUACUCUGGGGUUUAUGAUGUGAAAGUGGCUGUUUAGCUAGCUUAGAUGUUAUCAUAAGUACUCUUGGAUGUUACCAUGAUCGUACUGCUCUGUAUAUUCAACUGUUUGCACGAUAGAAAAGUUCAUGGUGUUAAAUUAAGAUGGGAAUGGUCCCUAGAUGUGUAGAUUGCAUUGGAAAAAUUAUCAUAAAAUUGGUACAUAGUUACCGAGAGAUCCUUAAAAAAUAUGGAUUUGCUCAGUUGUAUAUUUAUGAUACCGGCAGGGAGGUAUAAUUAAUAUAUAUAAAACAUGUUCUUUCGAGAAGUAAGUCAAGCCAUGCAACAACUCCAGUAAGCCAGGAAAUGGUGAUCUACCUCGCUUUUUAGGGUGGGGAGAUGGAACUGAAAAUGAAUUUUUCACCCUUCAACAUCUUCGUAAGUAUAUACUUUGGGCGAAACCAAAAGUAGCAUAUUAAAUCCCAUGGUCUCUCUCUGAUUCAGUUGAUUGUAUUGUGGUCGAAAUUGAUAAGUUUACUAUUGAUCGUGUCAACAAGAGUGGAGCUAUUUUUGAUUUAACAAGGUAAACUGUCUCCACUUCUCUCUGCAUUUUUAUCAAGUCAUUCCAUUUCUCAACCUGUAAGCCUGAGCUAUAUUACAAACAAACUAAUGUUGCAUUGGGGCAAGAAGAAGUGCAACAGAAGGACCUUGCUUCUGCGAAAAACCAAAACAAGAAAACCGUCUUCACUGUCGAUGGAUUUAUGAAUCCCUAUAAUGGUUACAUCAGUUAUGCAGCUGGUCCUUAUGGAGGAAUGUUCGCUCAAAAUCAGAACCCCUUUGGUGGUUGUUCAGGGUAUGCAUUGCCAGAUGCUCUAUCUCAGAUGAAUAAAAGGAGCAGAGUUACACCAUGUCAUGGGGAUUGGAGUCACGUCGAUGAUAAGGAUGAAGAGAGGAAUUAUCAGAAGAAUAGAUCAUGGCAUACGUCUUCAGUUUCAUGUUACACAAAGUAGGGGGGAAAGUUGUUCAGUAUGUUGCAAAAUCAGAGAAGAGUGUAAAUUAGGAUAUUAUGUAAUUUGUGGGCAGUAUGCAAAGAAUUACAAUGAUAUUAUGUAAUUUGUGGGCUGUAUGUAAAUUAUUCAAAGAUAUUCAUCGAACCAUUAUUUAUAUACUACAAAUGGGAAGGGUGAACUCCUAAUUUAAU